CCAGCAUGAGCAAACCCAACAGCAUUAAGUGAAUGCACUGACAGAUCACAGCUAAUGAGAAAGUAAAGACUCACCAGAUUAUGCAUGUCAUACUAUAGGCCAGUUCAAGGUCCACAGGGAAUAGUUGAAAGGAAAAAAAGGGAAAAACAAACACCAGUGAUCACAGGCAUAUGUAAAGGGUGAAAAAUAGAUAAACAAGCAAACGAAGGCAAAAGAAGUGAGUUUGAAAAAAAUGCCAGUGAGGAGUGGUAACAUAGGUGCACACAACUUUCCUAAACUGGAAACCAAGGUGCAUCAUGUUUACCAGAUGACAGUCAACAGAAUCUGGGGAAAACACAGUGGUGUGACAAGCUGCCAGGAAGAAAGAGAAGUGGAAUGGGAGGAGAAAAGGGGCAGAAUUGAGCAGAGAGCUAAAUCUCAUUCACAUCUCCCCAGACCCAAUUGUUCAUCCCAAGUUGGUGAACACCAUCAUCCUGCUGUGGGUUUGUGAUUGAUUUUAGCCAUCGGACAGAAGCCUAGGGACAUGAGCAAAACUCUGACAACAAGGAGAGAGCAUUUCUGUGUGAUGUAAUAAACUGGGAUACAAAGCUAUUAAACUGGCAAAAAAAACCUGUAUUGCCGUCAGCACAACCUAACGAUUACAGCCCCAUGAUGUCAUUUUGGCUGAGAUGCUUCAAAAUGGAGACAUCACAGUAAACUACACUGAGUCUAUUGCAUAAAGUAUCCUAAUGGGACUCUGUCACUGAAAAAAAAACGGAGAUACUUGUGGAGUUCUGAGGAGUUAUAAUUCUUUAUGGCAGAAGAUUUAGGUCCUUAAGGACUCAUUACAGAUACACGUUUAUUCUAUGCCAUCUCCCUAUUCAAAAACUGGAAAUUACACACUACCUGGCUGGGCUGUGAGCUGUAAUAGAACAAAAAAUAUCGACCGCCUGGAGAUUUUCAAGGACUCGGGUGGGAAACUCUGCCGUAAGGCACAACUAGGGGAUGACAACAAGGCUUUUCGAAAAAUUUCUUUUGUGUUGUCUCAGAGAGAGUCCUGAGGGUGAAUGUCCCAGCUGGUUACUCAGACAGUGGUGUGGGGGUGUGUGUGUGUGUGUGUGUGUGUGUGUGUGUGUGUGUGUGUGUGUGUGUGUGUGUGUGUGUGUGUGUGUGUGUGUGUGUGUGUGUGUGUGUGUGUGUGUGUGUGUGUGUGUGUAUGGUUUGUGUGUGUGUGUCUGUGUGUG
ensembl:lncRNA